CCCGCUGGGUCCGCCCGGCGGUGCGUUUGCCGGCACCGGCACCAGUUGUGCGGGAGCCAGCGCUCCACCUCGAAGUGGGAGGGGGUGUGAGGCCUGCGGGAGGCUCGGUCAGGAGGCGGCAGCCACCACGUUUUCCAGAAUGCACCCCAGUGUUGGGAAGCGCCAGUCCAGCGUCACUGGGCAAUAUACUUAAGGCGCCUGGUCCACCUCCUGCUUUGUUCUCACGUUUACCGUCUGCCCCCUCCUCCGUGAACCGUGCCCUAGGCCAGGCUCCCCAGGACUGGGGACCAGCAGGAGAGGGCAUCAGUGUGCCCGGGCAGGGAGCUGGAGUGAGGCUGGCACAAGCACUUAGCCCGGGGCUCAGGGGGGUGCGCUCCCACUGAGUCCCGUCCUGCUGAGUGCCUGGCCUUGCCCUGGGAGGCCCCCCAUCCCCCCAGUGAGAAAGGACUGGAGGUUCUCCCUGCCUGAGCGUCCCUCCUGAGAACCCGCGGGGGUCAGCGCUGCAAUACAAGGCUGCGACGCCAGGUGGCGAUGGACACGGGGCCAGGAGUCUGCGGGGCCUGCGCUCCGGGUGCCAUGCGCGGGCGGUCCCAGGUGCACAGCCGAGACUGGAGGCGCGUGAGGCGGAGCAAUAUCCAUUUCCCAACUGAAGUUCAGACGAUUGCCUGCCCGCCCGCCGCCUGCCCGGCCGGGGCCCAUCCAGGAGGAGGAGGCUGAGGGCAGCUGGCUCUCUGGAACACUCACCAGCUAUUUUUAUCUUGGCUUUUGUCUUGCAGACACUUCCUGCUAAGUAGUGAUGAAACACCUUCUCAGGCCUGGCAUGUGGAGGGGCAGGGAGGGGCCAGAACUUCCUGGGGGGCGGUAUAUGAUCUUAGUCACUUCCCUUCAGGGCAGGCGGUCCUUCCAGCUAGUUCCUGCAAGGGCCAUGGGUCAAUCAAUGUUUGCUGAGUGAAUGUGCA